rnacentral:snRNA from 1 species
UUCACUUCUUGGCCUUUUGGUUAAGAUCAAGUAUAGUAUUUGUUCUUAUCAGUUUAAAGUAGUAGCCUUACAAGUUAAAAGACCUUCAAACUACCCUAGAUGCUGAAUUCAGGGUUUGUAUUUAUUUUUUUAAGACUUCCA